rnacentral:rRNA from 1 species
UUUAACUGAGCGUUCAGUUACUUGACGUAGACCCGAAACCGGGCGACCUACCCAUGAGCAGGAUGAAGCGAAAGUAAAAUUUCGUGGAGGUCCGAACCCACGAGCGUUGAAAAGCUCGGGGAUGACUUGUGGGUAGCGGUGAAAUUCCAAUCGAGCCCGGAGAUAGCUGGUUCUCCCCGAAAUAGCUUUAGGGCUAGCCUCAAGGUGAGAGAUACGGAGGUAGAGCACUGAAUGUCCUAGGGGGUAUUGCACCUACCGAAGACUAUCAAACUCCGAAUGCCGUCAUCUUAUACUUGGGAGUCAGACUGUGGGUGAUAAGAUUCAUAGUCGAAAGGGCAACAGCCCAGAUCGUCAGCUAAGGUCCCUAAAUGUAAGUUAAGUGGUAAAGGAUGUGGGAUUGCACAGACAACCAGGAUGUUGGCUUAGAAGCAGCCACUCAUUCAAAGAGUGCGUAAUAGCUCACUGGUCGAGUGAUCCUGCGCCGAAGAUUUCCGGGGCUAAAACUUACUACCGAAGCUACGGCAUCAGUAAUGAUGGGUAGGGGAGCUUCCCAUACGGGUUGAAGCAUGACCGUAAGGACAUGUGGACAGUAUGGGAGUGAGAAUGUUGGCAUGAGUAGCGAGAUGUGGGUGAGAAUCCCACAGGCCGUAAACCCAAGGUUUCCAGGGGAAGGUUCGUCCGCCCUGGGUUAGUCGGGACCUAAGCUGAGGCCGAAAGGCGUAGGUGAUGGACAACAGGUUGAUAUUCCUGUACUACCGAUAACCGUUUGAGAGAUGGGAUGACACAGUAGGAUAAGCUAAGCACACUGUUGGUUAUGUGUGCCCAAGCAUUGAGGCAGUCAAAGUAGGCAAAUCCGCUUUGAUAAUGCUGGGAUGUGAUGGGGAGCGAAAUUUAGUAGCGAAGUAGCUGAUUUCACACUGUCAAGAAAAGUCUCUAUCGAGGUUAAAGGUACCCGUACCGCAAACCGACACAGGUGGGUGAGGAGAGUAUCCUAAGGCCAGCGAGAGAACUGUUGUUAAGGAACUCGGCAAAAUGACCCCGUAACUUAGGGAUAAGGGGUGCCACCAUCAGGUGGCCGCAGAGAAUAGGCCCAAGCGACUGUUUACCAAAAACAUAGGUUUCUGCUAAGUCGCAAGACGAUGUAUAGGAGCUGACGCCUGCCCGGUGCUGGAAGGUUAAGGGGAUCUGUUAGAGCAAUCGAAGCAGUGAACUUAAGCCCCAGUAAACGGCGGCCGUAACUAUAACGGUCCUAAGGUAGCGAAAUUCCUUGUCGGGUAAGUUCCGACCCGCACGAAAGGCGUAACGAUUUGGGCACUGUCUCAACAACAGACUCGGUGAAAUUGUAAUUCCGGUGAAGAUGCCGGAUACCUGCGACAGGACGGAAAGACCCCAUGGAGCUUUACUGUAGCUUGACAUUGGGUCUUGGUACUACAUGUACAGGAUAGGUGGGAGGCUUUGAAACCAGGACGCCAGUUUUGGCGGAGCCAUCCUUGGGAUACCACCCUUGUAGUACUGGGACUCUAACCAUAGGCCAUGAAUCUGGUCUUGGGACACUGUCAGGUGGGCAGUUUGACUGGGGCGGUCGCCUCCCAAAAGGUAACGGAGGCGCUCAAAGGUUCUCUCAGUACGGUCGGAAAUCGUACGUAGAGUGUAAAGGCAAAAGAGAGCUUGAUUGCAAGACAUACAGGUCGAGCAAGGAUGAAAAUCGGACUUAGUGAUCCGGUGGUUCUGCGUGGAAGGGCCAUCGCUCAACGGAUAAAAGCUACCCUGGGGAUAACAGGCUUAUCUCCCCCAAGAGUCCACAUCGACGGGGAGGUUUGGCACCUCGAUGUCGGCUCAUCACAUCCUGGGGCUGUAGUAGGUCCCAAGGGUUGGGCUGUUCGCCCAUUAAAGUGGUACGCGAGCUGGGUUCAGAACGUCGUGAGACAGUUCGGUCCCUAUCCGUCGCAGGCGUAGGAAAUUUGAGAAGACCUGUCCUUAGUACGAGAGGACCGGGAUGGACG